rnacentral:rRNA from 1 species
GUCUACUGCCAUACCACCCUGAAUGUGCCUGAUCUCGUCUGAUCUCGGAAGCUAAGCAGGGUCGGGCCUGGUUAGUACUUGGAUGAGUGACAGGAAGGAGGAGACA